ensembl:snRNA U6 U6 spliceosomal RNA
GUACUCACUUCAGCAGCACAUAUACCAAAAUUAGAAUAGAGAAGAUUAGCAUAGCCCCAAAGAAGGAUGACACAAAUCUACGAUGCAUUCCAUAUUAAA